rnacentral:rRNA from 1 species
CGGUGUUUAACUGGCGUGAUGUGGGACGUCCUACCGGUGGGCUUAGCCUCGCGAGGGGCGGCCCAACUAAUAUCCCGUCGCGGUGCUCUUUACUGAGUGUCGAGUCGGGCCGGUACGUUUACUUUGAACAAAUUAGAGUGCUUAAAGCAGGCUAUCCUCGCCUGAAUACUGCGUGCAUGGAAUAAUGGAAUAGGACCUCGGUUCUAUUUUGUUGGUUUUCGGAACCCCGAGGUAAUGAUUAAUAGGGACAGAUGGGGGCAUUCGUAUUGCGACGUUAGAGGUGAAAUUCUUGGAUCGUCGCAAGACGGACAGAAGCGAAAGCAUUUGCCAAAAAUGUUUUCAUUAAUCAAGAACGAAAGUUAGAGGUUCGAAGGCGAUCAGAUACCGCCCUAGUUCUAACCAUAAACGAUGCCAGCUAGCGAUCCGCCGAAGUUCCUCCGAUGACUCGGCGGGCAGCUUCCGGGAAACCAAAGCUUUUGGGUUCCGGGGGAAGUAUGGUUGCAAAGCUGAAACUUAAAGGAAUUGACGGAAGGGCACCACCAGGAGUGGAGUCUGCGGCUUAAUUUGACUCAACACGGGAAACCUCACCAGGCCCAGACACCGGAAGGAUUGACAGAUUGAUAGCUCUUUCUUGAUUCGGUGGGUGGUGGUGCAUGGCCGUUCUUAGUUGGUGGAGCGAUUUGUCUGGUUAAUUCCGAUAACGAACGAGACUCUAGCCUGCUAAAUAGGCGUACCUUAUGGUAUCGCGAAGGCCCCCGGCUUCGGCCGGUGGGUUUUUACUACCAACGUACAAACAAAUCUUCUUAGAGGGACAGGCGG